rnacentral:tRNA from 1 species
GUAGUGGCGGUUUAGUGGUAGAAUUCUCACCUUCCAUGUGGAAGACUUGGGUUUGAUUCCCAGUCUUUGCA